AUUGAACGCUGGCGGCAGGCCUAACACAUGCAAGUCGAACGGCAGCACGGGAGCUUGCUCCUGGUGGCGAGUGGCGAACGGGUGAGUAAUGCAUCGGAACGUACCCGGAAGUGGGGGAUAACGUAGCGAAAGUUACGCUAAUACCGCAUAUUCUGUGAGCAGGAAAGAGGGGGAUCGCAAGACCUCUCGCUUUCGGAGCGGCCGAUGUCGGAUUAGCUAGUUGGUGGGGUAAAGGCCUACCAAGGCGACGAUCCGUAGCGGGUCUGAGAGGAUGAUCCGCAACACUGGAACUGAGACACGGUCCAGACUCCUACGGGAGGCAGCAGUGGGGAAUUUUGGACAAUGGGCGAAAGCCUGAUCCAGCCAUGCCGCGUGAGUGAAGAAGGCCUUCGGGUUGUAAAGCUCUUUCGGCUGAAAAGAAAUCGCACAGGCUAAUACCCUGUGUGGAUGACGGUAUCAGCAUAAGAAGCACCGGCUAACUACGUGCCAGCAGCCGCGGUAAUAC
rnacentral:rRNA from 1 species